GGAAUUUAAUUGGGCAUCUUUUGGAUUUCAGACGUGAGAUGAUAAUUCAUUUGAGCUUCUUUGGGGGUAAGCGAAAACUAGCGAACAGAAACUGGAACCACCCAAGAAAUAAACAUAAAGAAACUCUUAUUUUACAUCAGUUGUGUUAUGGGAGCUUGUCUUGGUUCCUAGGUCGAAUCUGACCUUUAAACUAGAGAGUGGAUACUUGAAUCCAUUCUAAACAUAUUUGACACAACCAU
rnacentral:lncRNA from 1 species